rnacentral:rRNA from 1 species
UACGGAGGGUGCAAGCGUUAUCCGGAUUCACUGGGUUUAAAGGGUGCGUAGGUGGGCAGGUAAGUCAGUGGUGAAAUCUCCGGGCUUAACCCGGAACUGCCGUUAAUACUAUUUGUCUUGAAUAUAGUGGAGGUGAGCGGAAUAUGUCAUGUAGCGGUGAAAUGCUUAGAUAUGACAUAGAACAUCGAUUGCGAAGGCAGCUCGCUACACUAUUAUUGACACUGAGGCACGAAAGCGUGGGGAUCAAACAGG